rnacentral:rRNA from 1 species
CCUAGUAACGGCGAGUGAAGCGGGAAGAGCUCAAAUUUGAAAUCUAGUAGCCUUCGGCUGCUCGAGUUGUAAUCUAGAGAAGUGUUUUCCGUGCCGGCCCAUGUACAAGUCCCUUGGAACAGGGCGUCAUAGAGGGUGAGAAUCCCGUCCUUGACAUGGACCCCCGGUGCUCUGUGAUACACUUUCAACGAGUCGAGUUGUUUGGGAAUGCAGCUCAAAAUGGGUGGUGAAUUCCAUCUAAAGCUAAAUAUUGGCGAGAGACCGAUAGCGAACAAGUACCGUGAGGGAAAGAUGAAAAGCACUUUGGAAAGAGAGUUAAACAGUACGUGAAAUUGUUGAAAGGGAAACGAUUGAAGUCAGUCAUGCUCUUUGGUAUUUAUAUCAUUGAGUGGGGUCAACAUCAGUUUUGAUCGAUGGAUAAAGGCACUAGGAAGGUAGCACUCUCGGGUGAACUUAUAGCCUGGCGUCAUAUACAUUGAUUGGGACUGAGGAACGCAGCAUGCCUUUAUGGCCGGGAUUCGUCCACGUACAUGCUUAGGAUGUUGACAUAAUGGCUUUAAACGACCCGUCUU